rnacentral:siRNA from 1 species
UCUCGUACACUACCGCUUCUGGCC